rnacentral:rRNA from 1 species
UGGGGAAUUUUGGACAAUGGGCGAAAGCCUGAUCCAGCAAUGCCGCGUGUGUGAAGAAGGCCUUCGGGUUGUAAAGCACUUUUGUCCGGAAAGAAAUCCUUGGCUCUAAUACAGUCGGGGGAUGACGGUACCGGAAGAAUAAGCACCGGCUAACUACGUGCCAGCAGCCGCGGUAAUACGUAGGGUGCAAGCGUUAAUCGGAAUUACUGGGCGUAAAGCGUGCGCAGGCGGUUUGCUAAGACCGAUGUGAAAUCCCCGGGCUCAACCUGGGAACUGCAUUGGUGACUGGCAGGCUAGAGUAUGGCAGAGGGGGGUAGAAUUCCACGUNUAGCAGUGAAAUGCGUAGAGAUGUGGAGGAAUACCGAUGGCGAAGGCAGCCCCCUGGGCAAUACUGACGCUCAUGCACGAAAGCGUGGGGGAGCAAACAGGAUUAGAUACCCUGGGUAGUCCACGCCCUAAAACGAUGUCAACUAGUUGUUGGGGAUUCAUUUCCUUAGUAACGUAGCUAACGCGUGAAGUUGACCGCCUGGGGAGUACGGUCGCAAGAUUAAAACUCAAAUGAAUUGACGGGGUCAUA